UUCUGGAAGGAAGGAGUACACACAAAGGUGGAGUUCACAUAGUUUUACAGCGAAAUCUAUAGCAAUAUACGGGAAGAAAGGCUGAUUGCAUUUCUAAGCAGCGGAGGCCUUGACCUACUGCUAUCACAGCGUUUGCUUUUGAAUUUUGAAUCAUUACCACUAGAUGAUUUAUCCAUCAGUACUAACAUUGGACGCACACGUAUACUCCUGAUGAAGUCCCCCGUGGACGAAACGUGUUGGGUUUUAUGAACAAUUUCAUCUGAACAAGCUGAAUUGUAUUAUGGUCGGUGUAAAACUAUUUUAAUGGAUAUUGUAUUAUGAUAUGCUGUUACAUGACAUAUCUGUUUUAAAUAAAUAAUUUAUACUAA